UAGGGAAUCUUCCACAAUGGGCGCAAGCCUGAUGGAGCAACACCGCGUGAGUGAAGAAGGGUUUCGGCUCGUAAAGCUCUGUUGUUAAAGAAGAACACGUAUGAGAGUAACUGUUCAUACGUUGACGGUAUUUAACCAGAAAGUCACGGCUAACUACGUGCCAGCAGCCGCGGUAAUACGUAGGUGGCAAGCGUUAUCCGGAUUUAUUGGGCGUAAAGAGAGUGCAGGCGGUUUUCUAAGUCUGAUGUGAAAGCCUUCGGCUUAACCGGAGAAGUGCAUCGGAAACUGGAUAACUUGAGUGCAGAAGAGGGUAGUGGAACUCCAUGUGUAGCGGUGGAAUGCGUAGAUAUAUGGAAGAACACCAGUGGCGAAGGCGGCUACCUGGUCUGCAACUGACGCUGAGACUCGAAAGCAUGGGUAGCGAACAGGAUUAGAUACCCUGGUAGUCCAUGCCGUAAACGAUGAGUGCUAGGUGUUGGAGGGUUUCCGCCCUUCAGUGCCGGAGCUAACGCAUUAAGCACUCCGCCUGGGGAGUACGACCGCAAGGUG
rnacentral:rRNA from 1 species